rnacentral:rRNA from 1 species
CCUACGGGCGGCUGCAGUGGGGAAUAUUGGACAAUGGGGGCAACCCUGAUCCAGCCAUGUCGCGUGUGUGAAGAAGGCCCUCGGGUUGUAAAGCACUUUCAGUGAGGAAGAACGCCUGGUGGUUAAUACCCAUCAGGAAAGACAUCACUCACAGAAGAAGCACCGGCUAACUCCGUGCCAGCAGCCGCGGUAAUACAGAGGGUGCGAGCGUUAAUCGGAAUUACUGGGCGUAAAGCGCGCGUAGGUGGCUUGAUAAGCCGGUUGUGAAAGCCCCGGGCUCAACCUGGGAACGGCAUCCGGAACUGUCAAGCUAGAGUGCAGGAGAGGAAGGUAGAAUUCCCGGUGUAGCGGUGAAAUGCGUAGAGAUCGGGAGGAAUACCAGUGGCGAAGGCGGCCUUCUGGACUGACACUGACACUGAGGUGCGAAAGCGUGGGUAGCAAACAGGAUUAGAUACCCCAGUAGUC